UACGUAGGGGGCGAGCGUUGUCCGGAGUUAUUGGGCGUAAAGCGCACGCAGGCGGUCUGCUAAGUUUCGGGUGACAGUUCUCGGCUCAACUGAGAAAGUGCCUGGAAAACUGACAGACUUGAGGGCUUCAGAGGGACACGGAAUUCCGGGUGGAGUGGUGAAAUGCGUAGAGAUCCGGAGGAACACCAAAGGCGAAGGCAGUGUCCUGGGAAGCAUCUGACGCUCAGGUGCGAAAGCUAGGGGAGCGAACGGG
rnacentral:rRNA from 1 species